CCCCCCCCCCCCCCACAUCCUUUAUCACGACUAUUCUCUGUGCAUCCAAUUUCACAACGAAAAAAGAAAACCCUAGAUUCUUGGGGAAAAUCAGAGUGAAUGUCAAUGACAUCUUGGGUUUGCUCAAAACCAUGCAUCCCUUGUAGCGGGAGAAGAAAUCGCGGCCUCGCAAGGGGUCUCAGUGCAAACCCUAUGGCAUUUCACGAGGUCUAUACCCUAAUUGGCGGUGUGCAGUCGCAGCUCAGAAAAGGCCCUCCAACUAGUUGAGAAGGUUAUUAGGUUUUCUGAUAGUUCAUUUACUCAUAUUUGUAAUGCAAAAGAUAUUUGUAUAUGGCAGUAUGCAUUCUUGAGCUGUCUCGGAUUUGAAUUGCUAGUGGUAGGUGUCGGCAAUGCCUUCCUUUUACAAAUUCUGCACGGAAUGAUGACUUACAACUUUUACCAUUGGAUUAGAGUUGUCAACGGUGUCCUGCCUAUUGGUGACUAUUCCUUUGCUAAGAAUAACAAGGUAUCUAAGAAUAACAAGGUAUGUACAGAGAAACCCCAACUGUGCUCGGAAGUGGCCUCUCUUCUUAUAGAAUUGGAAUUCUUACUUUGUAUCAUCUCAUCUGUGAAUAUCUAGCUUCUUAUUUGUUUAUCUAUUCUUUUAAUUUUUUGUGUAUUUGUGGAUGUUAUCAAAUACACUAACAAAGAGUCUGAGAAGCAUUGACUGAUCUUGUAGCCUGUAGGUAUCAAAUAAGUAUUUUAUUUGUAUGAGCGUGUUUAAUUAAUAGUGAGAGUGCUUUUGGAUUCAUUGGCUUAUUUUCUAAUAUUAUUUCUUAUCUACAAUAUAAUGCCAAAGUUGACUACUACAAAACCUUGACGGGAAGUGUGUAUUGUUAAACCUGGAGGUAUCCAAUUGAAGGUAAAUAUGUGUUUAUCAAAUUAAUUCUUGUACGUAUAUAUAGAUUUUUUUUUCCUUCCUCUUGCACUACUGUCUUUGUUCAUAAGAGUGAAAAAUGUUCAAAUUUCUUCUUCCACUGCUGCCUUUGCACUAGUAAUUAAGCUAGAAUCUAUACCAACAAGGUAUCUAUUGCUGUAUGUAUUUAUAUUGACUGUUGCCGGUGUCCAUCUUUUUUAGCCAAAUUCUAUAUCGUUUUCGUGAUAUAGCCAGCAAGGUAUCAGUGAUUUCAAUUAUAGUUUGUUGAUGGAUUUUUAUUUUUUUUUGUCACUCAACUCUUAACUUCUGGACAGGUGGCCUGUGCUAAUUCAAAGAAGUUGCGGUUUUUCCAUAACUACUGAUAAUUCUGGAAAUGAGAAUUCUCUUUUCUUUUUUCAUCAUAGGAUGGUGGACAAGUAUUAAUGAAAUAAAUAGGAUUAAAUUAUGUUUAGUCCCUGUACUUUGUCCCUCUCAUCGUUUCAGUCCCUGACAUUCUAAUUUAAUCUAAAAACUCCCUGACCUCACAAUUUCCCUCCAAUAGGUCCCUCCCGCGUCAAAUUAAGAAUUGGCCUUAUCUGAAAUGUCCAAUAUACCCCUUUGUUAUUUUUUUUUCUUUUUUCCUUUUUAAUUUCUUUUUUUCCUUUUUUUUCCUUUUCCUUUUUAAUUUCUUUUUUGCCUUUUUUUCUUUUUUCUUUUUCCUUUUUAAUGACCAUCGUAUCCUGCUGCAUCGGUAGCGCCAUGUCGGCGAACCAAUCCAGAUCAACCCGAAACCCCAAUUCUUGUUCUCCACGCCGGCGGCCCUUUUUCUUUUCUAUUUUCUUUUUCCUUUUUAAUUUCUUUUUUCCUUUUCCUUUUUUUAUUUUUCUUUUUUCCUUUUUAAUUUCUUUUUCCCAUUUUCUUUUCUUUUUUCCUUUUUCUUUUUCCUUUUUCCUUUUUAAUGACCAUCGUAUCCUGCUGCAUCGGUAGCGCCACAUCAGCGAACUAAUCCAGAUUGACCUGAAACCCCAAUUAUUGUUCUCCAAGCCGGCGGCCAUUUUUCUUUUCCAUCACUAUUCUUCUUCUUCACUUCUGGUUUUGGUCAACUUGGCCAUCAAAAACCAUCAUUUCAACCAGACCCAAUAUCUAAAUCACCAUUUUGAGCAAGACCCAAAAACCUCAGGGUCUGAAAAAAUGGUAGUUUUCAGUGAAAAGUUUCCAAUUUGAGGCUUGAUGUGGAGAGAGAAAGUGAGAUUUGAGUGGGAGAGAGAGAAGUAGGCUGUGAAAACAAGAGUGGAGUGGUUUAGCGGCGAAUUUCCAAGCUGAUUGGGAUCUGCUUGUGUUUGGGAGAUGGUGUCGGCGACGAUGGAGGCGAGGGCGGAUCCCAAUAGAGGGAGAUGGCUUCAGAGAAGGUGAAGAAGUGAUCGAUCAGCUCCUAGCCUCUUGCUUUUGCUCGAUGUCCAUCUCUGCACCGCCAAGCUAGGUCUUUGUUGGGUUUGGUUUCAAUUUGGGGAGAGAAACAGAUGGGUUGUGGAGUUUGAUUGGAAUGGAAUUGGUGGGUUGAGGAAGGAGAAAGUAGGCAAAACGAAAAGAAAAAAAAAGGAAAAAAAGAAAUUAAAAAGGAACAAGAAAAAAAGAAGAAAAAGGAAAAAAUAAAUUAAAAAGGAAAAAAAGAAAAAAAAAAGGAAAAAAAAUUAAAAAGGAAGAAGAAAAAAAGAAAAAAAAAAAAGGAGAAAAAGAAAUUAAAAAGGAAAAAGAAAUAACAGAGGGGUAUAUUUGACAUUUCACUUAAGACCAACUCCUAAUUUGACGCGGGAGGGACCAAUCAGAUAGAAAUUUUGACGUUAGGGACUUUUCAUAUUAAUUGAGAAUGUCAGGGACUGAAACGAAAAAAAAGUCAUAGUACAGGGACUAAACAUAAUUUAAUCCAAAUAAAUAUACAAAAACUUCAUAGUGUCCCAUAGUUGCGGUUCACAACUCAUGCUUAGUGGAAGAUUUCAUUUGGGUACUAUAAAGUGCUAAAUAACCUUGCCUCAUUAAAUGGCAUGUCCCAUUAUCAGCCUUUGGGCUUCUUUUCAACAGCUUGGAUUCAAAUCCAAGCACAGCCAGGCAAUGCCUUUUUUUAGCUGAGCAUCCAUGUCCUUUGUUAAUAUACCACCAUGUUGAAUUUAUUUUGAAUAUGUUAUGAGAAUAUUGACUGCCAUGGCCAAUUUAGUUUGUGCGUAUCCUGUAAUACUGAAAAACCUGCUUACUUGCCGAUUGAUACUGUCUUGCAAGUGCAUGUAUACAUCAAGUGGCGUACGACUAAAAAUUGGCCUGAAACUGAUGAUGCUGUUGAAAAGGUCCAUGAAGGUGCAUUUGGUUCUGUUGGUGAUGAUCAGUCACUUCGUAAUUACUUGGAAUCUCUGGGACAACAUCAGUAACAAGCAUGUCUGUAGUUGGUCAUCAAAGAGAGAGAGGUAAGGCUUUAAAGCAUCAAUUCAAGCUUGGUGAGCAACUUGGUAAGCUUCUGUUUCUUCCUAGUCAGGCUUGGUGAGCAGCUUCUGUUUAAUCUUGAAGUCAAGGAAGAUAACUACCCUGUAAAGCUCAAUUAUCUUGUAAACUUCUUUAGAAGCUUCAUUUCUUUUGUAACAUUCAUGAGAAA